rnacentral:rRNA from 1 species
CGUAGGGGGCAAACGUUGUCCGGAUUUACUGGGUGUAAAGGGUGCUCAGGCGGUCUUGUAAGUCAGAAGUGAAAUCCUAGAGCUUAACUCUGGAACUGCUUUUGAUACUGUAAGGCUUGAAUAUGGAAGAGGAGGAUGGAAUUUCUGGUGUAGCAGUGAAAUGCGUAGAUAUCAGAAAGAACACCAGUGGCGAAGGCGGUCCUCUGGUCCAUUAUUGACGCUAAAGCACGAAAGCGUGGGGAGCAAACAGGAUUAGAUACCCUGGUAGUCCACGCCUUAAACGAUAAUACUAGACGUUGGGGUUAAACUCAGUGUCGCAGCUAACGCAUUAAGUAUUCCACCUGGGGAGUACGAUCGCAAGGUUG